GUAACAGAGAGUUUGAUUAUGGCCUGGGAUUGAACGCUGGCGGGAUGUUUACACAUGCAAGUCGAACGGCAGCACGGACUUCGGUCUGGUGGCGAGUGGCGAACGGGUAUAAUGUGUAUCGGAACGUGCCUAGUAGCGGGGAUAACUACGCGAAAGCGUAGCUAAUACCGCAUACGCCCUUCGGGGGAGCAGGGACCUUCGGGCCUCGCACUAUUAGAGCGGCUGAUAUGUCGGAUUAGCUAGUUGGUGGGGUAAACGGCUCACCAAGGCGAUUGGUCCGUAGCUGGUUUGAGAGGACGACCAGCCACACUGGGACUGAGACACGGCCCAUUCCUACGGGAGGCAGCAGUGGGGAAUUUUGGACAAUGGGGAAACCCUGAUCCAGCCAUCCCGCGUGUGCGAUGAAGGCCUUCGGGUUGUAAAGCACUUUUGGCAGUGGGAGAAACGGCACGGAUACUACCCCGUGCAACUGACGGUACCUGCAGAAUAAGCACCGCUAACUACGCGCCAGCAGCCGCGGUAAUACGUAGGUGCAAGCGUUAAUCGGAAUUACUAAGCGUAAAGCAUGCGUAGCGUCUGGAAAGAAAGAUGUGAAAUCCCAGAGCUUAACUUUGGAACUGCAUUUUUAACUACCGAGCUAGAGUGUGUCAGGAGGGAGGUGGAAUUCCGCGUGUAGCAGUGAAAUGCGUAGAUAUGCGGAGGAACACCGAUGGCGAAGGCAGCCUCCUGAUAACACUGACGCUCGCGCACGAAAGCGGGAGCACCAGAUUAGAUACCCUGGUAGUUCACGCCCAAACGAUGUCAACUAGCUGUUGGGGCCUUCGGGCCUUUGUAUGCAGCUACACUGCGUGAAGUUGACCGCCUGGGGAGUACGGUCGCAAGAUUAAAACUCAAAGGAAUUGGACGGGGACCUGCACAAGGACAUGUGGAUUAAUUCGAUGCAACGCGAAAACCUUACCUACCCUUGACAUGUCUGGAAUCCCGAAGAGAUUUGGGAGUGCUCGCAAGAGAACCGGAACACAGGUGCUGCAUGGCUGUCGUCAGCCUGUGUCGUGAGAUGUUGGGUUAAGUCCCGCAACGAGCGCAACCCUUGUCAUUAGUUGCUACGAAAGGGCACUCUAAUGAGACUGCCGGUGACAAACCGGAGGAAGGUGGGGAUGACGUCAAGUCCUCAUGGCUCCCGCGGGUAGCUUCGACGUCAUACAAUGGUCGGGACAGAGGGUCGCCAACCUGCGAGGGGGGAGCCAACUCCAGAAACCCGAUCGUAGUCCGGAUCGCAGUCUGCAACCUCGACUGCGUGGUGCCGGAAUCGCUAGUAAUCGCGGAUCAGCAUGUCGCGGUGAAUACGUUCCCGGGUCUUGUACACACCGCCCGUCACACCAUGGGAGUGGGCUUUACCGUAAAGUAGUUAGCCUAACCGUAAGGAGGGCGAUUACCACGGUAGGAUUCAUGACUGGGGUGAAGUCGUAACAAGGUAA
rnacentral:rRNA from 1 species